rnacentral:rRNA from 1 species
CCCUAUGGGGUGCAGCAGGCGAGAAACCUUUGCAAUGUGCGCAAGCACGACAAGGUUAAUCCGAGUGUUUCCUGCUAAAGGAAUCUUUUGUUAGUUGUAAAACCACUGAUGAAUAAGGGGUGGGCAAGUUCUGGUGUCAGCCGCCGCGGUAAAACCAGCACCUCAAGUGGUCAGGAUGAUUAUUGGGCCUAAAGCAUCCGUAGCCUGUUCUGUAAGUUUCCGGUUAAAUCCAUUAGCUCAACUAAUGGGCUGCCGAAAAUACUGCAGAACUAGGGAGUGGGAGAGGUAGACGGUACUCGGUAGGAAGGGGUAAAAUCCUUUGAUCUAUUGAUGACCACCUGUGGCGAAGGCGGUCUACCAGAACACGUUCGACGGUGAGGGAUGAAAGCUGGGGGAGCAAACCGGAUUAGAUACCCGGGUAGUCCCAGCUGUAAACGAUGCAGACUCGGUGAUGCCCUGGCUUGUGGCCAGUGCAGUGCCGCAGGGAAGCCGUUAAGUUUGCCGCCUGGGAAGUACGUACGCAAGUAUGAAACUUAAAGGAAUUGGCGGGGGAGCACCACAAGGGGUGAAGCCUGCGGUUCAAUUGGAGUCAACGCCAGAAAUCUUACCCGAAGAGACAGCAGAAUGAAGGUCAAGCUGGAGACUUUACCAGACAAGCUGAGAGGUGGUGCAUGGCC